rnacentral:rRNA from 1 species
CCCUUAGACACUCUAGGCGGCACGCGCGCUACAAUGGGUGGAAGACCGUGUUACUGCCUUCGAAAGAAGGGGUGAAUCACGAAUUCUUACCCGUGAAUGGGAUAGUUUGUUGCAAUUUUCGGACUUGAACUAGGAAUCCCUUGUAAGCAUGCUCAAGAAUAGCGUGUUGAAUACGUCCCUGCCGUUUGUACACACCGCCCGUCGUUUCUUCCGACUGAUACUCAUUGUGAGUUGCAAGGACGCUUCAUUGUGAGAUUGCUGCGAAUGCUUUGUAUUGGAGGAAGAAAAAGUCGUANCA